AGCUCAGUUGGUUAGAGCGCGCGCUUGAUAAGCGUGAGGUCGGAGGUUCAAGUCCUCCCAGGCCCACCAAUUUAUGCUCGUUUUUUGCUUAUCCAAGAGUAUAAAGCUUAAGCGUAUUAAAGCCUCUUCAAUCUUUGUUUAUUUUUAAAGAUUUUAUUUUAUCAUUCAGAGAUUGUUUGUUAAAUUUAUCCCAUUAAGCUUCCAAAGAGGCUUUGUCCCUUCAGUGGUACAGAUAAAUUUACAUGAUACAAAUCAAAACAGGACAGGUAAUUCAAGUUGAUGAAUUUGGUUAUGGUUGAUUUGAGAGAGCAUUAUUUAGGGGCCGUAGCUCAGCUGGGAGAGCACCUGCUUUGCAAGCAGGGGGUCGUCGGUUCGAUCCCGUCCGGCUCCACC
rnacentral:misc_RNA from 2 species